rnacentral:lncRNA from 1 species
CCAGCAUGAGGGAAGGCAUCUGCAGCCAGCCCAGCUUGAUGUGCACUGCCUAUGCUUUUGAUCCUCCGGUCAGCGAGCUCCUCUCUACCUUCUAUUGUGACUGCAGUAACGUUCUCCAGUGCCACAGGCUCAGUCACCACAGUCUCUCUUAUUGGGUGCUAGGCUGCAAAGUGCCCCCACCCUCACUGACAUCUAUCAAAACAAGCAGAAGCUCAGAAAACAGCACUCUGACCCUGUGUGCCCAUCCCAUGCUGGGGCUGGGUACAACUACUCACCUCAGCCCAGUCGGCCUGGCAGCCUUGGAACCUCUCCCACCAGGCACAUGGGAUCAUCUCCAUGGAGCUCUGAUUGGUUCUUUAAAAAUCCUUUACCAGCAAUCAUUGGCUCUCCUACUAAGGUGUGUUUCUGAAAGCAUUUUGUAGAUUGUGAAACUGGUAUAAUAUUUUAUGGAAAGGAUUCAUGAUAAGAAUAACCAUAAAUGGUUUCUUUUGGUACUGGGGAUCGAACUCGGGACCUUGCGCUUGCAAGGCAGGCGGCGGAACCACUGAGCUAAAUCCCCAAUCCUAACAGCCCUAAUUUUGAUGAGCACUCACUAUGUGCCAGGCAUGGUGUAAAAACUUAACUUGUUGAAUACUGUAUGUGCAUGAUCCUAUUAAUCUUCAGAAAAGGAAAUUGAGGCUCAUAGAGCUUAAAACACAUGUUACAAAGAGAAGAAUUGGUGUUUUACAUUAAUUUUAUUGGUACAGAUUACAUAUACAUAACGAUCACAUUUAUCAAAGGGAGUUUUACCUAUACAUGAUAUAUCCUUUAUUUUUUUUUGGCAGUAUGUAGAAAGUGGUUUUAUUAUAGGGAUGGCAGUGUUGGUUCAGCACUGGAAGAUCCACCCCCAAAAGUCAUCAUUUUAACAGAGGAAAGGAGAAAGCCAUAUGAUCCUGUCACUAGUUGGAGAAAGAGUAUUGGACUAAAUUCUACAGCUGUUCAUGGUAAAAGCUAUCAGGAGACUAGAAGUAGAACAGAACCUUCUCGACAGAUCAAAGACAUGUAUUCUGUACUUCCAACAAAAACUGCUAUGAAUGGAGAUGAUACAAUGCUCUCUCUCUAAAGUGGGGAACAAGGGCAUAUAUGUCUACUCUUCAUCUGUCCAUUAGACUUUGAAACAUAGGCCCAAAACAAAAAUAGUCUGGCAAUAAAAAGAAUCAAUUAGCAUAAGAUUGGAAAGGUAUAAGUAAACUAUUUAUAUGUGGAUGAAAUGAUCAUCUACACAAAAAAUACUAAUAAAUCUCUAGGAGCCCCUAGAACUUAUAUUUGAAUUUAGCAGGAUUAGAAAACACAAGGUA